rnacentral:lncRNA from 1 species
AAGGAAUGACCUGCCCUGGGGUUUACGCAAAUAGCUACGGGCUCCAAUUGAUAAGAGCAAGUCCUUCAUUCGGUGUCCUCCCUGGCAUGUCUCCAGUUUUUGCCAUCCUUGGUAUAUCAUUUAUUGCCACAGAUAAC